AGAAAAACAAUGAAUAACAUCAAUGCUAGGGGUCUGUUCUUCAAAUCUACUUUGGGGCAUUAUCAAAAGAUGCUAUCUUAACCAACAUGAUUAUAUGUAUUCAAAUAUAGAAAUAUUUGUCAAAUAUUGUCCGCAACACUCCUAAAGCCACCAUCAUCUUAUUAUUAGUGUGUAAAGACCAAACAAUUUCUACUCUAUAAUCACCCUCCUGUUUUCUUUAGGGAGAAGUAUCUGAACACUCUGCUGCAGGUGGAGAUGAUGCUGAAGCAGAGAAAUGGUCGGUACCUGCUUCAGGUGUUCCACCGCUUUGCCUACCAACUCCUCCGCCCCGUGAGGAACCUUGAUCUUGUUGUUGACUGUGGAAGCAGAUAAAUGUCAUCAAGGCAGAGACCAACAUCACAUAGCCACUGUGUCCCUACUGUCUGAUCAUGCAGUAUCAGAUAUACAAUAAAAACAUGUUUUUGCAUUA